rnacentral:rRNA from 1 species
UCGGACGGGUGGAGUAACGCGUGGAAAACCUGCCGUAUACUGGGGGAUAACACUUAGAAAUAGGUGCUAAUACCGCAUAAGCGCACAGCUUCGCAUGAAGCGGUGUGAAAAACUCUGGUGGUAUACGAUGGUUCCGCGUCUGAUUAGCUAGUUGGUGGGGUAAUGGCCUACCAAGGCAACGAUCAGUAGCCGGCCUGAGAGGGUGAACGGCCACAUUGGGACUGAGACACGGCCCAAACUCCUACGGGAGGCAGCAG